rnacentral:rRNA from 1 species
CAGUCGCCGCGGUAAUACGUAGGGUGCGAGCGUUAAUCGGAAUUACUGGGCGUAAAGCGUGCGCAGGCGGUUAUAUAAGACAGAUGUGAAAUCCCCGGGCUCAACCUGGGACCUGCAUUUGUGACUGUAUAGCUAGAGUACGGUAGAGGGGGAUGGAAUUCCGCGUGUAGCGGUGAAAUGCGUAGAUAUGCGGAGGAACACCGAUGGCGAAGGCAAUCCCCUGGACCUGUACUGACGCUCAUGCACGAAAGCGUGGGGAGCAAACAGGAUUAGAUACCCGUGUAGUCCCUGUCUCUUAUAC